rnacentral:rRNA from 1 species
GACGAACGCUGGCGGCGUGCUUAACACAUGCAAGUCGAACGGAAAGGCCCUGCUUUUGUGGGGUGCUCGAGUGGCGAACGGGUGAGUAACACGUGAGUAACCUGCCCUUGACUUUGGGAUAACUUCAGGAAACUGGGGCUAAUACCGGAUAGGAGCUCCUGCUGCAUGGUGGGGGUUGGAAAGUUUCGGCGGUUGGGGAUGGACUCGCGGCUUAUCAGCUUGUUGGUGGGGUAGUGGCUUACCAAGGCUUUGACGGGUAGCCGGCCUGAGAGGGUGAUCGGCCACAUUGGGACUGAGAUACGGCCCAGAAUCCUACGGGAGGCAGCAGUGGGGAAUAUUGCACAAUGGGCGGAAGCCAGAUGCAGCAAUGCCGCGUGCGGGAUGACGGCCUUCGGGUUGUAAACUGCUUUCGCCUGUGACGAAGCGUGAGUGACGGUAAUGGGUUAAAAAGCACCGGCUAACUACGUG